rnacentral:rRNA from 1 species
AUGGAAAUAGAUGUUGAAAAUACAUAUAGAAAUCAAAUGUUCUUGUGGAGUUACCUAGCAAAAAUUGCAACCAUGGAUAGCUCAGGGUCGCCUUCUCCUACCACAAAAGGGGCUUCCCUAGCUUGGAAGUUGGCCUUAUCUUCUUCAAAUGUUGGGUCAGCUGGAUUUUUGCACAGUCUGGCUAUGUGCUCGAAGCCUCCACAUCGCUUGCACUUCCUUUUCCUAGUGCCAAGGCCAGCACCUUCAGUACUGGAUCCGAUUCUAGUCUCCCUUGGUCGUUCUUUUAGCCUCCUCAACACCGGAGCUUAUAGUUUGAAACCAGGGUCAACAAUGUCCCAUUGUUGCUUGCCUACCAUUAUAGGUAUGUUGCUCGCAUAUGCAACCUUGAAUUUUACAACGGAGUACAACUCAUGUACAUGA